GAGAGGGAGUAGAUAUCUGCAUGUUAAAUGACAAAAUAUUAACCAAAUAUCUGAAUUUCUGCAUUCUCCUGCUAGUUCUGCCUCUCUUCUCCUUCUUCUCUCUCAAUGGUUAAGGUGUUUCAAUAGCCGCAAUGAGUGAGGCAUUUUAUUCAUCUGUGAAGUUCAAGAAGAACUUUAGGCAGGGGACUGCAGCAACUCAGGAUGAAGACAAAACCUAUUCCGAGGUCAAAACCAUCAACCCUACCGCCUCCAACACAGUGUGCCACUGUGGUUCAGCAGAGCACAGUGGGCAAAGCUCACUUCCCUACAGACGGGUUGCAGUGAGUCUGGGGCUGCUGUGUGCUCUCUUAUUGGCUGCCACAGUAGUCCUGUGUGUCCUCUGUGAGUAACUGUCUGUGUCUCUUUACUGUGAUCCUGGUAAAAUGUCAUUUUAAAGUAAAAAACAGAUCUGUUCUGUCAUUUUACAAAUGAAUAUCAUAUAGUGGGAUUAACUUUUGGGCUUUUGGGCAAUCCCCUCUGUUUUCACCCAGGUAUUGAUGUAGAUUCAUUUUAAGAAAAAUAAAUGUUUUUAAGUAAUAAAUUAGUUACUACAUAAGAGCUAAUAUGUGAUGUUGAUGCCUUGAUCAUUGUUGGUCAUUAUUUUUUUCCAAAAUCCAUUCAACAUUGUAGUCUUUAAUUUGAAA